rnacentral:rRNA from 1 species
UACGAAGGGGGCUAGCGUUGUUCGGAAUCACUGGGCGUAAAGCGCACGCAGGCGGCUUGAUAAGUCGGGGGUGAAAUCCCGGGGCUCAACCUCGGAAUUGCCUUCGAUACUGUCUGUCUUGAGUCCGGGAGAGGUGAGUGGAACUCCGAGUGUAGAGGUGAAAUUCGUAGAUAUUCGGAAGAACACCAGUGGCGAAGGCGGCUCACUGGCCCGGUACUGACGCUGAGGUGCGAAAGCGUGGGGAGCAAACAGG